rnacentral:tRNA from 1 species
AAGGAUUUAAGUUAAAUACAAAAACUCGUAGCCUUCAAAGCUCCAAAUAAAGAAUCUUUAAGCCUUA